UGUCCCCUCUUUGCUUGGGAUUGGGUUCUCCAUUUUUCUACUGAGCGAGAUGGAUGCUGCAACUGAAACUGCUGCUGUUAAGGGAUGCCGGAUGAUCUCAGUUGAGCCAAUCAUUUUUGGUUGCUGCCAUUUUGCUUUGGCUGUGGUGAUAUCUCAACUUAUGGAUGGUCAAUCAUUUGGAAAGCUAUCGGCAACGUAUCAUUUCGUGUCAAUUGUCGACAUAUGAUUGCCUUCUAUCAGAAGUUAAGGAGAGACCAAAUUUGAUUUUGGUUUGUUGCUGUCACCGCAUGUCCUGCGAUCGAUUAGGCUAGAUUUGGAUGAUCCAAAAUGGUUUUCUCAGAUGCUAUGUACCAUACAUGGGGUGAAAGAAAUGCUACAACUAUUCACCACACAAGAAGAAAAGGUGUCUGGAUUCAUUUCAAGCUGAGCUUCAAUAUUGAUCUUCUUUCCUUUAACGGACUUGGGUCUUCUUAAUUAACGAACUUGGUUGUCUAAUGACUUCUCCAACAUAACAUUUCUCUAAGUCGCUAAAGUACGUAGUUGUGCUGCGACAGUUAGUUUAUUUGUGGGAAUUUUGUAUGAGUAUUUGUUAAAAAAAAGUUAAUUAUUGAAAAUCUGCAUUACCUAAAUUUUUAAUGCA